GACAGAGGGGGCGAGCGUUGUCCGGAGUCACUGGGCGUAAAGGGUGCGCAGGCGGCCGCGUGUGUGGAAUGUUAAAGCCCGAGGCUCAACCUCGGUGAUGCGUUUCAAACUACGUGGCUAGAGUGUGGGAGAGGGGAAUGGAAUUCACGGUGUAGCAGUGAAAUGCGUAGAUAUCGUGAGGAACACCAGCGGCGAAGGCGAUUCCCUGGACCAUUACUGACGCUCAGGCACGAAAGCGUGGGGAUCAAAAGGG
rnacentral:rRNA from 1 species